rnacentral:rRNA from 1 species
CAAUGGGAGAAAUCCUGGAGCAGCAACGCCGCGUGGAGGAUGAAGGGUCUAUGACUUGUAAACUCCUGUAAAGAAGGAAAAAAUUCCCAUUUGAUGGGAGAUGAUGGUACUUCUGGAGUAAGCCCCGGCUAACUACGUGCCAGCAGCCGCGGUAAUACGUAGGGGGCACGCGUUGUCCGGAUUUACUGGGUGUAAAGGGUGCUCAGGCGGAUUUGUAAGUCAGAGGUGAAAUCUUACAGCUUAACUGUGAAACUGCCUCUGAUACUGCAAGCCUAGAGUAUGGAAGAGAGGCAGUGAAUAUCGGGUGUGGCAAUGAAAUGCGGAAAUAGCAGAUAUAACAACGAUAGCGAAGGCAGUCACUUGGGCCAUUACUGACGCUAAAGCAC